GACCUCCGUUCACCGCAGAAGGAGCUCGUCGCCGGUGACCUUCCGGUGGUGCUCCGCUCGAGCCGCGCCCCGUUCCCGCUUCCUCGCGUCAUGGCGCACCUCCGACGCCCUCUGCCUGAUCCCGCCUCAGCCUCCCUCGAAAAAUCCGAGCUCGACUUGAUCGCAGUCAUGGCGUUCUGUCUCAGGCCCCGCCUUGUUCUGGGUCAAAACAGCCGCACGUCUUCUUCUAAUCAAAACUGAUUGCCUAGCUUAGUGAUCUGGCGCCCCAAUGGGCCUUGGCCCAGUUCGUCCCGGCAUAGCCCGUCGCUCUGUGCAUGCAGUAGCCCAGAUCCACCCUCUCGCCCGGCGCGGCAGGUAUGAAGAUAUGUUCGAUGAAGACGACGUUAGCAAGGUUACCGUUCCGGCUUGGCCUGGGCAGGGUUAUGGACACCACUGGUUAUCUUCAGGACUCUUAGUCCAAUUUGUAUCUUGUCCGUACUCGGACGUAUUCGAUCUUCUGUAUGAUUUGGAUCUUUGUAUUGUAUAUUUGUAUCUUGACUCGAUGGAGUUGUUGUUGUAAUAUAUGUAUCUUGUGGGCUCUA